AUGGAGAACCUGAUUGAGAUACUCAACCAGUCUAACAUUGUCUAAACUUUAUCAGAUUUUUUUUUUUUUUUUUCUUUCUUCUUCUGUCAUUUGUGAAGAAUUUAUGCUCUGGUAUGAUUUCCAUUAAUUUAAUAACUUUAUAUGUCUUUCAAUAGCUGUUUAGAUCUGUACAUACAUAGAACAGAGAGGUAGUGUUGUUUACUCAUGUAUUCAAUAACUUGGGUAUGAAAGUUUGCAUAAAGAUUGCAUUUUAUCUUUUUAGUAAUAGCUGUAUUGCAGGAAAAUGUUCCGUUGGAAACAAAUUUCAUAUACUAUUUCAUACACAAAAGCUAUGUCACAGUGCAAUAAACUUGAUUGUUUGAUUUGUUAAAUACAGUUACUGAUUUUAAUGUUUUGAUAUUUUAUUAAAUGUUUCUUUGUUUCUAAUUUUUAAUAUGAUAACCUGAGAUACUAUUUUCUCAUUUCAUAGGCCCUGUAUAGCUGCACGACUGUGUGUACAAUAGAGUAACUGCACGAUUGAGUUAUUAUAAUAAUUAUAAUGUUGUAGUGAUUUUUGUUUAUCAUGCCAGCUACUGUUGUACUGUUUUUCUGUUUACUGUGUUAUUUGUAUACCAGUUGUGUGUUUGCCACCCCUGUAAGUGUGUAUCGUGUGGUUUUCUCAGCAUCUCCUUACUUAAUUGCGGUAUUUGCCAUUCGCCAGUUGUGUAUUUACUUGCCUAUUUAUUACUUGGCUUGUAUGUAUGCAGUUAAGCACUUUAAUUGUAACUCAAACUUUACAUUUAAGAAUAUUCAAUUGUUUCUACACUUUCACCUUUUUACACACUUUUCGUUUAUCAUAUGUAUUCAAAUUUUCAGUCGAGAUUGCAAAGCUAUUUUUGCAGGGUUAACUGUCAGCAUUUUUCUCUUAACUACACUAGUGCUCAUGGAAAACUGCUCUUAUUAUUACGACGAAAUAUAUUUAGUUUGUUACUGUCCCACUUUGUUUUAGAACCUGUACGAGUAUAUAGCUGGAAAAAAAACCUGUUGGAUUAGAUAUCUGAACAUAAGGUUAAUGCCUAUUUAUUCUGUUGCACUGUGUGUAUUCUAUGUAAAAAAAAAAAAAAAAAAAAAAAAAAACUUUUGGCCUACUAUGUUUGUCAGUAUUCAAUAAAUGUUUUAUUUUGGUAAAUUUCAAAUUUUGUUCAGCAAAUGAAUCAUUUUUAGAGCCACAUACCUAGUCACCAGUGAAGCCACCAGUAAGCUGGUGAAAUGCACCAUUUGGAGUGGGCUAAAACAUUAAAAUGUGCUAUUUACCUUAA